CUUAAAUUCUUGGUUUGCACUUGUAUAAAUGAUAUGUGUUAGAGACUUGCUGCUAAAUUCUUGGGAUGAUCUCGUUUGUGGAGCUGAGACUUGGUUUCAUACUUUUGGGAAUUUAAAGCAGAUGACUGGUCUGAGAUGUGUAAGAAUCACGACAAAUGUGGACUGCUGCAGCUAGAAUCUUUUUUAAGCUCAUAUGCGGUCUUAUCCGUAAAAGGGUCGCGUAUCUUUGUGACACUUCUUCAAUGAGCUUGUCCUUCACUUGUAUGUUAAUAACUUGAUAUUUAGUAUGCCAAACUAUAUUGCUUUUUUUAAUGAUUCUAUAUGCAUUGUAAUUAAGUGUAUGUACCUCUUAGCUAAUCUUUGCUUCACAAUAUUUACGUUUGAUGUACUAUCAGAACAGUCAAUGGACUGAUUUCCUUGAGAACAUUGUGUCAAUGGCUAAGCAAGAUCUCCGGAUAAAGAAAUCUGCGACGGAGGUGGUGUUCAAUGAUAAUAACUAUGUGCUAGAAUUCUACAAUAUGAUGUUAUUGGACUUGAAGUCAGGAAUUGGAGCAUGAACGAAGUUAGGAGCUAAAAUAUAUGAAGAGCCAUGUGACUAUGAUGAAGACUUCUUGAACAAUUGUGAUUAAAUUUAUUUUUGGUUUUGUGAAAUUAAUUACAAGUAUACAUCUUGCAAUAUUUUUUUUUUAGUAAUUGUAAUAUGAGACAAUUUUUCUUUUUAUAUAUUUAUUUUUAAUAUCUAUAUUCACAUUA